rnacentral:tRNA from 1 species
GGAGAGGUGGCAGAGUGGUCGAAUGCGCGCGCCUGCUAAGUGCGUAACGGUUAACCCCGUUCGAGGGUUCGAAUCCCUCCCUCUCCG